CCGGGUGUAGCGCAGUUGGUAGCGCGCAUGGUUCGGGACCAUGAGGCCGUGAGUUCGAAUCUCGCCACUCGGA
rnacentral:tRNA from 1 species